UUCAGCUCCAAGACGUAGUAGGAAUUUAGGUCCACAAGAAAAUUAUUCAGAAGGGUCAGCCAGGUCAGCUCAUGAGCCCAUGCAGCCCCAUAAAGACCCUCUGCUGCAGCUGGUGUCCCUGCAGAAAGCGUCUGGCAGCUGGAGGCUUGAUGAAGAUCUGACUGCUGUGCUGGGAAAGACCAAAGAGGAGGUGGAAAAGGCAAAACCAGAAUUGGUCAACAAUGAAGUGUGGGCCUCCAUUCUGGCUCUGAUUUGGCUUCAUGGUUUUAAGAUGGAUGCAAAGGAGGAGUGGGAGCUUCU